AAAUCAAAGUUUAAGGGGAAAACAUACAUGCACAAUAAUAGUUCUUUGGGAAAUUCCUUUCUAGUUGCAUUGCUUAAUACAUUAUUUCAAUUUUAAUGGAAAAGGAAAUGGCUAGUGUAGACCUGUAUUUUGAUAAUAAAUGGCAAUUUCUCUUGAGGCUCGGUCAGCUGGUCUCUUGUUGAUGGGAAGGGAAGAUGGGUCUUCUGCUGUCCCAACAGCACUUGGAGGAGCUCUCGGGAAAUCAUCUCCCACCGCUGCCCCCCGUUAGCAGAAGCCAGGAGGUUUCACAAGGACGUGGCUGAUGGCACCGCUGUCACAAUCCCAGUGGGACAUGUGGCUUUAUCUGCUGAAGAGUGAAGAAAUGUUGAGGCAUUUAGAAAUGGAAAGACAAAACCGAGGAGCCAGCAGCUCUGCCACCUUGGGUCUGUGCAGCACUGUGUCCCGUACCAGUUUUGUGGCUAAUAUUAAUGAGAAAACAUGCCUGGCCAUCAGAAAGUGGUGAAAGUGAGGGGAGAUAGAGCUGUACCGGUGAGCUGUCUGCCAGUGUAGCUGUGGCUCAGGCUUUCCUGUUUGCUUUCAAAAUGCUCUGCAAAUACAUGUUAAUAACAUGUCACUGAAGCUACCCUUGAAGCAUAAACACUGUGGAUCAGGAUUUAUGCUUUGUAACUCAAGGCCUGGUGCUCUGUACUGAGAAUAACAUCUCGACAUGAAUAAGAGCUUGGUGUCCGCAUGUCAGGUGACUACAGCAUCAUGCCUUCUGCACCGCGGGAUUUGUCUCAGAAAGGCAUCUGCAUGGCCUAAUCAAGCAUCUGCAAAAAAUACAGAUUCCAGGGAUUGUCUUAUAUGAAGAUAUGGCCAACAUCCUCC